CCUUGAGGGAGUAAGACCCCUGGUAGACCACCAGGCGAUAGGCCGGAUCUGGAAGGGCGGUAACGCCCGAGGAGACCGGUACUAAUGGGUCGAGGGCUUGACGGU
rnacentral:rRNA from 1 species